rnacentral:ncRNA from 12 species
GCAGUUUGGGUCUGUGGUUGAAAGUCGAAGCCAGUCGCAGGCGAAACGAUCCACGUAAGCGGGGCAAUGUUCCCGUGAGCAUGGUGCGGUCUAGAUAUAAGUCCAACCGGUCUUUCCGAGAGGGGCAGUAGUGAGAGGCGAACGCCGGGUAGCGAACCCUCCAGUUGGCGAGUGUGGGGGCAAAGACCAGGUCAGCCGGAUCAA